AUUAGAUACCCGGGUAGUCCCAGCCGUAAACUAUGCUCGCUAGGUGUCAGGCAUGGCGCGACCGUGUCUGGUGCCGCAGGGAAGCCGUGAAGCGAGCCACCUGGGAAGUACGGCCGCAAGGCUGAAACUUAAAGGAAUUGGCGGGGGAGCACAACAACGGGUGGAGCCUGCGGUUUAAUUGGACUCAACGCCGGACAACUCACCGGGGACGACAGCAAUAUGUAGGCCAGGCUGAAGACCUUGCCUGAAUCGCUGAGAGGAGGUGCAUGGC
rnacentral:rRNA from 2 species